rnacentral:ncRNA from 2 species
AGACCCCUUGCGGGAGAGCUUCCGGAUCGUGCCGUCAUGGGCGUCGCGGGAGCGCCGAAGGAGCAACCCCUCCCCGGAAUCUCUCAGGCACCCGUACCGCAUGGACGAG